GGGUGAGUGGUGGAAUGGCAGACACGCUACCUUGAGGUGGUAGUGGAUUAAUAUCCGUGAGGGUUCAAAUCCCUUCUUACCCACCA
rnacentral:tRNA from 1 species